rnacentral:rRNA from 1 species
AUUGAACGCUGGCGGCAGGCCUAACACAUGCAAGUCGAGCGGAUGAGUGGAGCUUGCUCCAUGAUUCAGCGGCGGACGGGUGAGUAAUGCCUAGGAAUCUGCCUGGUAGUGGGGGACAACGUUUCGAAAGGAACGCUAAUACCGCAUACGUCCUACGGGAGAAAGUGGGGGAUCUUCGGACCUCACGCUAUCAGAUGAGCCUAGGUCGGAUUAGCUAGUUGGUGAGGUAAAGGCUCACCAAGGCGACGAUCCGUAACUGGUCUGAGAGGAUGAUCAGUCACACUGGAACGGGGAAACGGUCCAGACUCCUACGGGAGGCAGCAGUGGGGAAUAUUGGACAAUGGGCGAAAGCCUGAUCCAGCCAUGCCGCGUGUGUGAAGAAGGUCUUCGGAUUGUAAAGCACUUUAAGUUGGGAGGAAGGGCUGUAAGUUAAUACCUUGCUGUUUUGACGUUACCAACAGAAUAAGCACCGGCUAACUUCGUGCCAGCCGCCGCCGUAACAC